rnacentral:rRNA from 1 species
GAACGACUCUCGGCAACGGAUAUCUCGGCUCUCGCAUCGAUGAAGAACGUAGCGAAAUGCGAUACUUGGUGUGAAUUGCAGAAUCCCGUGAACCAUCGAGUUUUUGAACGCAAGUUGCGCCCUAGGCCACUAGGUCGAGGGCACGUCUGCCUGGGCGUCAAGC